rnacentral:rRNA from 1 species
GACGAACGCUGGCGGCGUGCUUAACACAUGCAAGUCGAACGGAAAGGCCCUGCGUUUGUGGGGUGCUCGAGUGGCGAACGGGUGAGGAACACGUGAGUAACCUGCCCUUGACUUUGGGAUAACUUCAGGAAACUGGGGCUAAUACCGGAUAGGAGAUCCUGCUGCAUGGAGGGGGUUGGAAAGUUUCGGCGGGUGGGGAUGGACUCGCGGCUUAUCAGCUUGUUGGUGGGGUAGGGGUUUACCAAGGCUUUGAAUGGUAGGCGGCCUGGGAGGGUGACCGGCCACAUUGGGCCUGCGAUACGGCCCAGACUCCUACGGUGGGCAGCAGUGGGGAAUAUUGCACAAUGGGCGGAAGCCUGAUGCAGCAACGCCGCGUGCGGGAUGACGGCCUUCGGGUUGUAAACCGCUUUCGCCUGUGACGAAGCGUGAGUGACGGUAAUGGGUAAAGAAGCACCGGCUAACUACGUG